GCCGCCGCCAGGAAGCCGGUGGGGACUUUGGAAGCUGGAAGCUUACUGUUACCUGGUCUGUUCAGUCAGCUGCAGAGCCUCGUGCACAGCCUCGGGGAAGAUCCUCCGUGCCGUUGCCCUCUACAGCUAGUGAAAGCCUGAACUCUCUACUUGGCAGUGCCACUCAAAACAACCUGCUGCUUCCUUCAGGACUCCUCCCAAGGCAGAGAAAUUAGCCAAGCUACCUACCUGGGAGCAACUCCCUCCUACUCAUUGUCAGGCUUCCAGAAGAUGUGGCCCAGAGGUAAAGGUGUGUCCUCCCAAUUCAAGAUCUGGAUUAAAGAUGUGUGUCUUCCUACCUCAAAGGUCCUGACUAGAAGUCAAUUCACCCACUUCAGAGCAAGGGAAAAUCUCUCAUUGGUGUGCCCUCCACAUCUGGAUUGUAGUUCAUUCCCAAUGUAGUCAAGUUGACAGCCAAGAAUAACCAUCACAGCUGCUAAAAUAUUAAGUCAAGAGACAGAGGGAAGUGUGACGGCUCCUAACUGAGUGGAUAGAGGAUGAACAGAUGACAGUUGUCUUCCUGGUGAGGCCAAGAGGGCAUAGAAUGUGUGUGCCCUCCUUUGGCUCAGCCCAUCCUAAUGCAGAGAACCUAUAAUCCCAUAGCAGUUAAAUCAGCCUUUGUCCAGUGUCUAUAAAAAUGUAAGACAAACAAAACAAAAAACAAAAAUUCUUGGGUUUUUUCCCUUCUCUUAGGCACCCCUUCUCCUCUCAGGAGUUUCAAUUUUUCUCAAUUUUGCACUUUUCUGUAAUUCUUAUUAAUAAACCUUGCUUCUGUCUUGCUUAUUCCUAGAGUGUUCAUGUCUUUAAUCUUUGCUGGAGCCACUAUCCUAAGUCAGUCCUUGGUUUCUGUGUCUGACAUCCCAGAUCCUUGGAUUAAGCACAACUGGACCCAGAAAUGUUCUGUCUCACCCAAAAACCUUGUAUGACUUCUAAUACUUUGUGACUUUCUGUACACUGUGUGGAGGCAGAGACUGAGUUUAUCUUGUUUGCUCCUGCAUUUUAUAAGCCAGCACAAUGCCUGGCAUUUUGUGUGGAUUCAAUACAUAUCUGUUAAACACAUCACUAAAAUCCUAACCUCCAAGAUUUUGCCAAAACCUUUAUCAUUUAAUUUACUUUUUUGAUUUACUUAUAAAAACCUA